CAUACAGCCCAUGGGUGUAUUAGAAGAUAAUCAAAGUGAUGAAUUACAGCCAAUAAUAUCCAUUAUUACAGCCGCAUACAGCUAGCAGGAAGCUGUCAUAUGAGCGUGCAGGGCGCUGUGGUCCCGUGAGUCUGAUGACCGUUCAUUAUGGCGAGGUAAAUAACUCUGGAUUCAGCUGUUAGUUCAUUUUACUACUUUUAGGACAUCAUUAUUUAAAUGAGGGAUAUUUAAGAGUUCCUACUGGGAAGUUGAUUUACCUCAGAAUUA